rnacentral:rRNA from 2 species
CAGCAGUAGGGAUCUUCCGCAAUGGACGAAAGUCUGACGGAGCAACGCCGCGUGAGUGAUGAAGGUUUUCGGAUCGUAAAACUCUGUUGUUAGGGAAGAACAAGUAUCGUUCGAAUAGGGCGGUACCUUGACGGUACCUAACCAGAAAGCCACGGCUAACUACGUGCCAGCAGCCGCGGUAAUACGUAGGUGGCAAGCGUUGUCCGGAAUUAUUGGGCGUAAAGCGCGCGCAGGCGGUUUCUUAAGUCUGAUGUGAAAGCCCACGGCUCAACCGUGGAGGGUCAUUGGAAACUGGGAGACUUGAGUGCAGAAGAGAAGAGCGGAAUUCCACGUGUAGCGGUGAAAUGCGUAGAGAUGUGGAGGAACACCAGUGGCGAAGGCGGCUCUUUGGUCUGUAACUGACGCUGAGGCGCGAAAGCGUGGGGAGCGAACAGGAUUAGAUACCCUGGUAGUCCACGCCGUAAACGAUGAGUGCUAAGUGUUAGAGGGUUUCCGCCCUUUAGUGCUGCAGCUAACGCAUUAAGCACUCCGCCUGGGGAGUACGGCCGCAAGGCUGAAACUCAAAGGAAUUGACGGGGCCCCCCCCCC